CCUACGGGGGGCAGCAGUAGGGAAUAUUGGACAAUGGGGGAAACCCUGAUGCAGCAACGCCGCGUGGGGGAUGAAGUUUUUAGGUUUGUAAACUUCUUUUGUUAGGGAAGAUUAUGACGGUAUCUAACGAAUAAGCACCGGCUAACUCCGUGCCAGCAGCCGCGGUAAUACGGAGAGUGCAAGCGUUACUCGGAAUCACUGGGCGUAAAGAGUGCGUAGGCGGGGUAAUAAGUCAGAUGUGAAAUCCUGUAGCUUAACUACAGAACUGCAUUUGAAACUGUUACUCUGGAGUGUGGGAGAGGUAGGUGGAAUUCUUGGUGUAGGGGUAAAAUGCGUAGAGAUCAAGAGGAAUACUCAUUGCGAAGGCGACCUGCUGGAACAUUACUGACGCUGAUGCACGAAGGCGUGGGGAGCAAACAGGAUUAGAUACCCCAGUAGUC
rnacentral:rRNA from 1 species